GAUGAACGCUGGCGGCGUGCCUAACACAUGCAAGUCGAGCGAUCUUCUUCGGAAGAGAGCGGCGGACGGGUGAGUAACGCGUGGGUAACCUGCCCUGUACACACGGAUAACAUACCGAAAGGUAUGCUAAUACGAGAUAAUAUACUUUUAUCGCAUGGUAGAAGUAUCAAAGCUCCGGCGGUACAGGAUGGACCCGCGUCUGAUUAGCUAGUUGGUAAGGUAACGGCUUACCAAGGCGACGAUCAGUAGCCGACCUGAGAGGGUGAUCGGCCACAUUGGAACUGAGACACGGUCCAAACUCCUACGGGAGGCAGCAGUGGGGAAUAUUGCACAAUGGGCGAAAGCCUGAUGCAGCAACGCCGCAUGAGCGAUGAAGGCCUUCGGGUCGUAAAGCUCUGUCCUCAAGGAAGAUAAUGACGGUACUUGAGGAGGAAGCCCCGGCUAACUACGUGCCAGCCGCCGCAGUAAGAC
rnacentral:rRNA from 1 species